UGCCAACAGUUGUCUUUUUUCGCGAGAUACACUUUGCUCACACUUCUGCUGCUCUUCCUCUGUCAGUAGAACACCCAUACCCUCAAGCAAUUGCUUGUCCAAAACAUCGACGAUAUCCUGCUGGUUGAUCUUAGAAUGUCCUUUUCUUACAGACAUUAUUCCAGCUUCAUUGACUAGAUUUCUUAUGUCUGCCCCAGAAUAUCCAACUG
rnacentral:misc_RNA from 1 species